rnacentral:rRNA from 1 species
GACGAACGCUGGCGGCGUGCUUAACACAUGCAAGUCGAACGGAAAGGCCUGCUUUCCCUUGUGGAUUGCGGGUACUCGAGUGGCGAACGGGUGAGUAACACGUGAGUGAUCUGCCCCCAACUUGGGUAUAAGCCUGGGAAACUGGGUCUAAUUCCCGAUAGGACUGCAGGGUGGUGCCUGUGGUGGAAAACGAUUUUCUAGUGGUUGGGGAUGAGCUCGCGGCCUAUCAGCUUGUUGGUGGGGUAAUGGCCUACCAAUGCGGCGACGGGUAGCCGGCCUGAGAGGGUGGACGGCCACAUUGGGACUGAGAUACGGCCCAGACUACUACGGGAGGCAGCAGUGGGGAAUAUUGCACAAUGGGCGGAAGCCUGAUGCAGCGACGCCGCGUGGGGGAUGACGGCCUUCGGGUUGUAAACUCCUUUCGACCGCGAGGAAGCCACCUGGUUGGAAGGGUGGUGACGGUAGUGGUAGAAGAAGCACCGGCUAACUACGUG